rnacentral:rRNA from 1 species
AUUGAACGCUGGCGGCAGGCCUAACACAUGCAAGUCGAGCGGGUGGCGGACGGGUGAGUAAUGUCUGGGCAACUGCCUGAUGGAGGGGGAUCACUACUGGAAGCGGUAGCUGAUACCGCAUUCCAUCGGAUGUGCCCAGAUGGGAGUAGCUAGGUGGUGGGGUAAAGGCUUACCAAGGCGACGAUCCCUAGCUGGUCUGAGAGGAUGACCAGCCACACUGGAACUGAGACACGGUCCAGACUCCUACGGGAGGCAGCAGUGGGGAAUAUUGCACAAUGGGCGAAAGCCUGAUGCAGCCAUGCCGCGUGUAUGAAGAAGGCCUUCGGGUUGUAAAGUACUUUAAGCUGGGAGGCGUUACCAGCAGAAGAAGCACCGGCUAACUCCGUGCCAGCCGCCGCGGUAAUAC